UAGAUCAUAAGGUCAACACUUGAUCUGAGAGAGAAGCGUUCUAUUUUCGGUUUGAGAAGAGAUUGUUUGAAACGGGAUGGUUACUGCUUCUAUGAUAUUUUACAUAACGAAUAAUCUUCUUGGAGUUGCAUAACUUGCCACAGUGUUUGAAAGCUAUAUCAAAGUUGGGAACCCUGACUGUGCAUGGAGCAGCACUAAGAAAGUAUCCUGAAAUUAUAUCAACUGUGAAGAAGUGUCGGCACUUUGC